UGAGAUAUUCCAUUCACUAUAAUAUUAUAUCAUAGUUGUCCCUCACUCGUACGUGGCCUACAUAAAAUUUUUUAACCUAUAUUUUAUUUCUUGUAUCAUCCGCCUUAAACCCAAGAGCCAAGAAACCUCAUCACCUUAGCCUUGGUGUAUAUAAUAACUAAGAACUUGAUGAAAAUGCUGGCAUCUUCUUUUCCAUCUUUUUCUUGAUCAAAUUUCCUUUCCAUUUUUUUUUUCCAUCAGGGUUUAUCAUUAUCGAAGGAGGAGAUCAUCAUGGUAGUUUUGAGGAGGAGGAGGAGGAGGAGAUUGUUUGAAGGAUUACCUGCUGAUAGCAAUGGAGUAGCCUUGGAGCCGUGGCCUUAAGAUACAAAAGAAGAUGAUAACCAGAGGGAAUGGAACCUCUAGGUACAAGGGAAAUGCCAAAGCAUUUAUAGUGACACGGUGACAUAUACACCAUGCUAUGUAACUUCUGAGAAUGUACGUUGAGAUAGUUUUCACUCAAUUUCAGUACUUGUGCUAUAAUAUUUGGUGAGCGUACAUGCCACCCAUA